rnacentral:ncRNA from 2 species
UGACCCCGAUCGGGAGAGCCACAGUGCAGUGGCGCCGAAGGAGCAACCACCCCGGAAAUCUCUCAGGCAUCCGGACCGUUCGAGGCAG